rnacentral:rRNA from 1 species
GACGAACCGUGCGAACGUUGUUCGGAAUCACUGGGCUUAAAGGGCGCGGAGGCGGGCUUGCAAGUCUGUGGUGAAAUCCUCCAGCCCACCUGGAGAACUGCCGUGGAUACUGCGAGUCUCGAGGGAGGUAGGGGCGUGCGGAACAGAUGGUGGAGCGGUGAAAUGCGUUGAUAUCAUCUGGAACUCCGGUGGCGAAGGCGGCACGCUGGGCCGCAUCUGACGCUGAGGCGCGAAAGCCAGGGGAGCAAACGGG